rfam:Oryctolagus cuniculus chromosome 4, whole genome shotgun sequence.
GUAAAUAGAGUUUUAAGAAAGGAUUAGAUUGUGAAUCUAAUAAUAGAAGAUUAACUCUCCUUAUUUACC